AGCAGCCGCGGUAAUUCCAGCUCCAAUAGCGUAUAUUUAAGUUGUUGCAGUUAAAAAGCUCGUAGUUGAAUUUCGGGAUCGAUACGUCGGUCGUGCCUUAGGUACGUACUGUCGUCAUCGAUUUCUCCCUUCUGAUGAACCAUGAUGUCAUUUAUUUGGUGUUGUGGGGAAUCAGGACUGUUACUUUGAAAAAAUUAGAGUGUUUAAAGCAGGCUCACGCUUGAAUACAUUAGCAUGGAAUAAUGAAAUAGGACGUUUGAUUCUAUUUUGUUGGUUUCUAGGAUCGACGUAAUGAUUAAUAGGGAUAGUUGGGGGGCAUUGGUAUUCAAUUGUCAGAGGUGAAAUUCUUGGAUUUAUUGAAGACUAACUACUGCGAAAGCAUUUGCCAAGGAUGUUUUCAUUAAUCAAGAACGAAAGUUAGGGGAUCGAAGACGACCAGAUACCGUCGUAGUCUUAACCAUAAACUAUGCCGACUAGGGAUCGGAUGAUGUUAAUUUUUUAAUGACUCGUUUGGCACCUUACGGGAAACCAAAGUGUUU
rnacentral:rRNA from 1 species